AAAAGGUAACACGUGAGUAACCUGCCCUUGACUUUGGGAUAACUUCAGGAAACUGGGGCUAAUACCGGAUAGGAGCUCCUGCUGCAUGGUGGGGGUUGGAAAGUUUCGGCGGUUGGGGAUGGACUCGCGGCUUAUCAGCUUGUUGGUGGGGUAGUGGCUUACCAAGGCUUUGACGGGUAGCCGGCCUGAGAGGGUGACCGGCCACAUUGGGACUGAGAUACGGCCCAG
rnacentral:rRNA from 1 species